CAAAGUACAGAUGGGUUGAUUAUUCGAAGCUUUUCAGUGGUCCCCCUUUAUUCACGUAGACACUAAUUACUUUGGAUUGUCAUGCAAUGACCUGCACACAUUCUGAGGGAAAGCAGCACACAGUAUUCGGCACACGCCGCAGCAGAUUUGCUCCUAGCUCCUUGGGUAAAACAGCCAAGCAAAGAACAAACGAUUUUAUAGAUCGGGCCUUUGCGAAGGUGACUUGGAUAUAUUUUGGCAUUAAAAUUUAAUUGUAUCUGCAGCAGAUUUUUUUUUUUCCUCCCUCUCUUCCUUCUGCUUUCUCUAUGGGUUGUGCUUAUAAGGAGAUCCGUUUACUGAAAAGUGGGAGGAGAUUGACAGACAAAAUCUCCCCUGUAUUUUUUUCUUAAGAGCUAAGCUUCAGCACAAAGGAAAGAUCCGUGUAUUUCAACAGACAUCACACGCUUGGCCGCUGCACAACCUGUCAGUGGAGGAAGAUUUGCCAAGAUCAGAGAGUCUAUUGUUGGAAGUGAAGUAUGAAUUCAGUAACAGACAUAAAGGGAGACAUAACUAAAUCACAUAUUCCUAAACUCUACUGCUCUUCCUGUCACUACGAAAAAAUCUACUUGUUAAUUUUCCCAGUUCUGAAAGUUUCUGAAGGAUAAUAAGAAGAAUCAAAAUGUAUGGAACCACAAGAUCAGGUAGAAGAAAACAGAUGGAAACCUGCUCCUUUCCAGUAAGACACUUUAAGAUGAACCCAGGAAUCACCAUUGGUGAAGCCAGUCUACGCUCAUCCUUCAAGUUACCAUGUAUGUACAUAGUGUUUACAUUAGGAAAUUAACACUUUUUUAAGGUCAGUGUUCUUUCUUUUGAAUACAGUGUAAUGUCUCAAUGAAAAGUAUAUCCAUUAGUCACAUAUCUAUACAACAUGAACACAAUUGGAUAUCUCUGGAUCACAAAUUUAUCUUAAUAGUAACUUGCACCUAUGUGUGCCUUAUGAUACCAUAAAUGCCUAUCGGGGUCACCCAUGCAACUUACUAGACGAUCUAUUGCUUAAUCACACAGAAUGUUUUUUUCUCUAUGCUGCGUUGGUUGCUUGUCUCUCUUUUUCUUCUAGGACUUGUUGACUGGUGACCUGUCUUUAUGCCAUUUUGUCUUGUUACACAUGCAAGGGUGUAUGUCAAAGAUUGGUGUCCUCACCGCAGCCUCCUAUUAUUGCAAGAUAAGUGCUUUGUCUGUGGAGUGCUGCUUCCAGAAAUCAAUGUGUUGCUGCAUGCAGAGAAGAAGCCCUGAUCCGUUACUCUGCACGUACAGGACCCCUCAACAAUGCGAUCACAUCACCAGAGUGAUAUUUUAUUUUAAGGACCUACACAGAUGGUUUCUUGUACAUGAUUGAAAACUGGAAUGCCAAUUUCAGCUCAGCCAAAAGAAAAUGAAGAAUACGGAAUUAAAUUGUUGCAUUAUGCAGGCUACCAAAUAUGUUUGAUGUAUGCUGGGGAAAAUAAUGGAAAAUGGUGCAGUCAAGAUAAUGUAGUGGAAAUGGAAGUUUAGUCCUCGAGUGUUGUUCUGCAGUAGAAAGGUUGUGUGUGUGUUUACUUCAUUUUCAUAUAGCAACCUGCAUGGAAAUUAUAGUUACAUAGGUAACUUAAAACCCUUGGCCUAAUGCUAAAUGUAUGUCAGCCUCUUAUCAAUUCCCUAAAUAAUCAUAUAUAGCCAGGGAAGUAACUAUAGGGGUGUGCAGAGGUAGCAGUAACACCCGGACCUGGUGCCUAAGGGGGUUCUGAGGCCACAUAUUAGAACAGCAGUAUAAAUGGAACAUGGUAGACCGGGGUUCGAGUUAUGCUUCUGUAGACAGCACUGCCAUUUUCUUUUGUGACAUAGGGAUCCCAGAAUGGAGCUUGUAGCUUCUUCUGCCUUAUUGUAAGGCCUAAAGAGUAACAUUCAUUCUGUAUCAUUGCAAGGCCAUCCUCUAUUAACAUUUCUCAAAAGGCAAAGCAUUUAGUCUGUAACCUUCUCUUCUUAACCUUGAAAUAGUGUAUUAGUUGACGAAAAAAAUGGUUUAUUUUCUAUCAUGCGUAUAGUCCUUUUUACUUUACAAGGUGCUUUGUGGCUUAUAGAACCUUUGUGUGCUUUCUCAUGAUCUGCAGAUGUUUUGUUUGAAUAGAUUAUCUUGGAAAAUGCAGUUUUCUUUAUGGGAAUAAUUAGCAGCUAGAAGUCGGAAUGCAUAUUCCUUUCCGAAAUAAGCUUUCACACUUCUUUGAUGCUUAAAGACAAUUACGCUAAUUACCUCUCCAAUGUCAUCUGCUCCUAUUUGAUUGUUUAUUUUUUAUUAUGCUUGAAUUAGUAGAUUACUCAUCUGCUGUGUACAAUAAAGUAGUUAGCUGUACUUAAUUUCCUGUGAGGUUGAUGGAGAUGCUUUCUCCAUAGUGAUUAUUAAAGGAAGGUCCUUGGCCAUUGUAUGCUAAUGCCAAAGCACUUUAAAAGAUAUCAAAGAACAUCUAAUGGAGGAUUCAGGCGAGGCAUAAUUACAGUGACUGGAUGUAGCUUAUUAGUAUCUGACUUUAAUGUUACUUUUAUAGCAAAAGCUUUAAUAUUGUAUGAGGAGAUGAGAGUUCACUGGAAAUAAGAUACAUAAUAUGCACUAUUGUUUGUAUUCCCUGUUUGCUGGAAGGAAAAUUGCUGCUUUCUAAUCUGGUAUCACAACAGUGUAGGAUAAGUGUUUAAGUCGGAGAUAGACAAGCAAUCGUCUCUAUCCAUUGCUUCUGUUUAUUGUCUCCUAGUUUAUGGAUGGAAAUGGAGUUUUAACAUUUGUGUCAGAAGAGCAUUCAAUAGUAAGGAAUUGUGUUUUUGUACUGGGAGAAUAGAAGGAAUUGUGUUCUUGUACUAGGCGAAUUGAAGGGAUUGUGUUCUUGUACUGGGAGAAUAGCAAUUAAUUAUGUUCUUGUACUGGGAGAAUAGCAACGUAUUGUGUUAUUGCACUAGGAGAAUAGCAAAGGAUUGUGUUAUAGUGAUAGGAGAAAAAUAUAAUGUAUAAGGGAUGAUGAUAGGCACUAUAAAUAUAAAACCAGCCUAUUACAUACUGUGUAAUUUUGGCUUGCUCCCAACAGCAUGGUGUAUGUGGAAUAUUGACGUAUGGAAAUAUGUUAUAUUACUAUAUUAGUUACAGGAGGUCAAUCCCUUGAGGUGACUAUAAUAAGCAAUAUAUUUACCACAGGCCAUAGUUCCAAUGACAUAUCUCUUCACAGCUGAUGUUAAUUAUCCUCUAGUACCUGGAGGUUAUAAAAAAAAUGCCAAUGAUUUUGCUAGGAACAUGGCAAUUAUGGGUCAAAGCGUAAUAUGCUGUCUCUCAGGGCACUAUUCUUUUGCACUUCCAACCCUCUAUCUUGUGGGUGUAUGUCAUUUGUAGGAAUAUGAUCAAAAAUGAAAUUUUCAAGGAAGUAUUAAAGAAAAGAAGCCAUUACCUCGGGGUUUUGCUCUUGAGCACUUUAGACUCUUCAAUGUACAAGGAAUGUCAUUAGGAGAUAUACAAGUUCCUUACCACUAUAGUCUCCGCAAUGAUAAGUAUGGCAAAUUACACAUUUCAAAAUAAUUGCCACUUAUGGCUCUACUCAUCUAUUCAGUAGUACGACUCAUUACUUCGGGAUAUAUUGUGUUUGAAUUUCAAAUUACAAGUUAUUUUUAAACAGUUAGAAACGGAUGAAGGCGUGAAACAGAGCAAUUGGAAUCAAGGUUGUGGAAAUGUGAAAAGAUGAUACAUACAGUAUAUGUGCAGCAUAUAGGUCACUUCCAUCCUGGUUUUAAGAUAAUAUGGUUAGUUAGUAGACUUUGAUUUGAUAUGACAUCAUAUUCAUAUACUUUGUUUAUUGCUCCGGUUAAUAUUUGCCAUUACAUUUGCUACCACAUGUAUUAGAACUCAAUGAUUGUAGAGCCCCUUUGCGUGUUUUGACUUACAUGUUCUUUCCUCCUUGUCCGAAACUCUUUUUACUUUAAGUAAUAUAAGUAUCCUUUUGUCCUCAUGAAAAAAAAACAACAGAAAUGAUUAAGGCCAAAUCAAUGAUACACUUGUUCACACUGUAGUCAUUGACUCCAGGAAUGACACAGUGAUAUAAAAACAGAUCAAAUGUUAGUAAAAGGCAACCACAUUGUUAAAUAUUACAAUAUACAAGAAUAUUCUUUUUCUAUCACUGUGUUUAUUCUAAAACUCUUCUAAAAACACAUGUGAUUGUGAACUCCUAACGUGUUCUUCAUCUUUUUAUGUUUAGAGCAUUUAUGAUGUAUAGGAAAUGGCAGGCCAAUAAUAUGUGAAGGAUCAUGGUAUAUAACAUCUUAUAAAACAUGAUGCAAGAUUCCAAAGAUUAAACAUCUGUAAAAUUUCAUGUCAAUCAAAUGACUUUAAUAUUUGUUGUAACCAGUCUAUGUGUGCAUCCCAGUUGUAUUAUUGGUGAACAACUGCAUGUGUAUUAACAUACUAACAACUGCAGACACACAGUAAACGCAAUAACUGAGUCUACAGCUUUGGUUAAACUAACACCAGUUAAUAUUAACUAACAAAACUAACCAGGAACUAAAGCAUGCUAUACUAACCUCACUUUCUACUAACCAUGCAGAGACACAGCAAACUGUUCCAGUUACUGACUCUGCCCGUUUUUCUCUUUUUACUACUAACUUGUAAAUAGCAAACUCACUAACAUCAACUGCCUGUCCUGUCUUCUCAAUUGUCUGGUGAUGUGAUUCAACUGAGUGUGAUAACUCAGAGGAAAUGAUCUGGAGUCUGCAAUGCUCAUUUACUAACGUUUUUACUACUAACAACACUAACAAUAUUAAACACACUAAUGUACUGAAACAGUUCUGUGCUAUUCACCCUAACAAUAGACACGGUUUCGGUUUACUGAGAAACCAAAAGAAAAAGUUCAGUGUUAAAGAGAAACUGUAACCAGGAGAAGUUCCUUUUAGAGUAGGGCACCUGGAGAAUGCCCUGUCAUGGCUGAGCUAGUGCGUGCAAUUGUACCAACUACAUGGCCCAACAUGUGCCAAAUAAAAAGGGCUCCCCCUUACGUGACUCUUAAGAUACUUGCUGUUUCUUAGGAAUUAUAACUGCUGGGAAAUGUACCCAAAUAAUAAGCGGCAUAAUCAUCUCCAUUUUUGGAGACAGUUUAGCACGUACUAUUGCACAUUCUAGUUUAGCAUCAUUACGGCUUUUUAUAGAUUUAAUAAAUGUAAAGGGGCCUGUCCUGGUGACAGGUUCCCUUUAACAGACUCCUCCUAAUAAUAUUCACCAGGGUUAUGAUACAUUUUUUUGUGAGUGAGGCUAUGUAUGAAGUUUUUAUUUGUCAGUUUUGGGGAUCCUUAGUACCCCUUUGUACAACAUAUGCAGGUUCAUUUAAAUUUUUUGGGUGAACUAUGCUUUUAUUUAUCAACCAACAUGGCAUAUUAUUAGUGAUUUAAUUGUGAUGUACCUUAAAUAAGUGAAAAUUCCAGUAACAUGAUUACUGUACCACUCCAACAUCAGACAGGGUUGUUCUGUACUGGACUUCAUUGUAUUAUCUCUUGGUCUUGUUACCUUAUGACAACAUCUGAGGAUCUUGAGUUGUCUUGUUGUCUACAUUUAUUCUUAAAGACAUCUAAAGUAUUCAGGCCCAAAAGUGGAAGUUCAGACUUGUGGAUAUAACCCUGUUUUUGUAACCUAUACAGAAUAUACAUACAAAUCUUUAUUAUGUAUCAUGGGGGGGACUUUACCAAGAUUGGCAUGUUUCAUGCUGGUCUUAAGGAAGCCCCCUGCCAGUGUACUCUCGCAGUGGCCCAUGUGGCAGCCUCUGAAAUGUACACCAGCUCAGAAGAGCUGGUGUAGGGGGGGGAGAUCAAGAACCCUUUGUGAGAGCAUCAUAACCAGCCUCUCUGACCUAUUGAGCACUGCAGAGAUCUGCCAAAAUUUUGCAACUUUUGGCCAUUCUGCAUCAGGUGCAGAGUUGAAUAAAUACCCCCUAUAUGUUUCAUUUAUAUAAGAUAUAAUUGUAGCUAAUAUUGCAGUACUAUUUUUCUUACCAAGUGUUGAGUAGAACUUAUACAUUUAGGAUUUUUUGCAUUACUUAGCUUCAUACAUAGCCUCCCACAUACCUACCUUAGGGUAAUGGCAGGAAGGUCCUUUGCUGUGCCUUGUAUUUAUUGUGGCAGAUAUCUGUAGUUUCUACUUACCCAUUAUAAGAACUUAGAUCAUAUUAGCUCUAGUUUCUAAAGCCUGACUUACAUGACUGGCAAAGACCUUGUGAACCAUUACCUCUAGGGGUCAUUUCACCUAUAUGUUAUUGCAACCAUCAAGAUUUGUUAAAGUAAAUUCUGAACCCAAUUUCCAGAAAUCAUGUCUUUCCUCUGACUGCAAACAAAUGUUUAGUGACUAGAGUAGCUUGCCAUGAUGUUCAACUGUCUUGUGGAAAACAGUAUUUUGCUUUAGUGCACCUUAGAAGCUAAAUUUCAAAUUGCGCUUUCUAAUUCUUUGUGGAACAAAUUAUUUCUUUCCCAUUCAAGUAGAGAAUCUUGCAUGUUUUCCUUUUUUUUUUUUUUUUUUUUUUGACAGAUUUACCAGUAAUGCAUGCAAAAAAAUAAAGAACUAUGCAAAGUGUCUUACUAAGUAGUUCCAACUCUUUGUGACAAUAAUACUAAUGCAAAAUGCACGCAUAACGCUUCAUAACAUAAAAGGCAAUGCUUAAAAUUCUCGUGCAAAUAAUAACUAAUACCUACUAACUUCCAAUGCAUGCUGAAGGCUCGACUGAGAGCAUCUGCAGUUAACCUAUCAAUUGAUCUACUAAUCUACAGCAUGACACACUUGAUAUAUUAUCAGUGUAUUACCCUGUCUGACUCUAACCAUAAAUUGCUUUGCUAAUAAUUGUUGUAAGAUCUCAUCUUGGAAUGUGAGGUUGUCUUUAUUCAAUGUGAUUGGCAUAAAUGUCCACUUCAAGCCCUUAUGGAGAUUUAUGCCUGGUCAUUACAGGUCUCUUUCUAAUGAACAUCUACUGUGAAUUUCUUCUUUUUUAAGGGGUUGUAUGCUUUCAGGUACUUUGCUUAAAUAUAUAUACUUUGGUGUAUAUCCUUGUAAAUCCUUGGUACAUCUUAACACUUCAUCUGGGAUAUACAAAGGUUAACAUAGUGCAUGCUUGCAUAAACACUAAAAUUAGUUUCAUGUACAAUUCUUACCUUAUGAGCAAAGAAAGUAUCUAUAGUAUGAUGCCAUUCAUUGGACCAACCUAGCAUGUAAACCUAGUAAUGACAUAUAAUUUAGUUUGGAUAUAUAUAUAUAUAUAUAUAUAUAUAUAUAUAUAUAUAUGGACUGGACAUUGAAUCAUAAUAUUUAAAAACAUACAUAAAAUAUAUAAUUUGCCUUUAUAGUCAAUAAAACAUAGUCUUUAUUUAUCUUGUAUGCCACAUUUAAUAGUAAGAGGGUAAACUGUUUGUUGCCUGCUACAAUGACUGGCAUUUUACUGGUUAUAUCAAAGAUAUUUGUUGACCCAAGAAGUUAUCAUACUAUUCUGCUGUUGUCCUUUCUUUGUUAUAAACAUACUGACACUUUACAAAUAUAUUAAGCCUUGUACAUCAAACUGGGGGAGAGGAAAAAAAAAGUGUUCUUGUUGCCCAUUGGUACCAACCAGAGUUCAGCUUCCUGGGCCCUUAUUGGUCACCGCCAGCACUGCACACAGAUUUUCUUUGCAACAGGCAUACUAGGGGCCCAAUAUAGAUUGGGGGCUUGCCUACAGGUGUUCUUCCUCAAGCUAUAGAGCACAACAUGCAUUGAUCUUAAUACCAAAAAGAUUCUGUUGGCCACAUGGACAGUGGAGAUAUUUCCAAUGUGGAGAUUUGUAUACAAAUAUAACGAACAUUUUUCCUCCCAGUUUAUGUAAAGUGUCUGUGAUGACAAGAGACAUGCAACAUAAUAGACUACUAUGCUUUGUUAGAUGAGAUUAACUAGUGUUUCAUUGUUCUCUGAUCAUAUUUUAAGCAAAUACUGUGGUAAUUGAGGUUACGCAGCUCCUCCAGAUGACUGCCUUUUCACUGCCGAGCCCCUUCUGAUUAUGGUGUUGAAAGCUUAAAGUUAACUCUUAAUACAGAUUAUUAGAAAUGUUGAUGUCCUUUGUUCUAGUAAAGCUCACAAUUGUGACAAUGACAUACUUCUAUCAUGGACAUAUAUUUGUGUUCUCCUUUGAAAGGGCUAUUAAUCUGAAUGAGCCUAAACAUUCUUAUUUUCCUUGUUUUUUUUUUGUUGUGACUCUCUUUGAAAUAGUUCGUUUUGUGCAUGUUUGUAUACCCUACAAAGUAAACACGUAUUCAUGUUAUACUGUCCCUCAGGAUGAUUCAAAUUUUUCAAGAUGCAUGCAUAAGACUUAGAUAAACAGCAGCUGUAAUCUUGUUAUAUUGUGCAGUACCUGGAUGAAAGGCAUUGUUGCUAAGCCUCAAUGCAUCUGCAAAGAUUAAUGGAAAACACAUUAAUAGCUUUUAAAUAAACAGAAGUCUUUUCACUCAGAUGAUGAAGGAUGAAUAGAAACCUUUCAGAAUUGGGAUUAUGGAAGCACUUUGAAAAUAUCUUUUACUUUUAGUCGGGUUUCAUACAGUUCAGGUUAAAGGUACUGAAACAGCAGUGUAUCUUUACAUACCCUUUAUUAUUUACCUUUGUUUACUUUUAUUAAGCUUCUCUGCCUUAAUAUAUUUUUACAAAAAUAUAUGAAUAUGGCAGCGCAAGUUAGGCUGGGUUUACAUAUGUCCAGCAUCCAGCAUAGGUGAACUCAGCCUAGAUCUCGACAUGACUGAUGUCACAACUAAUGACAAGUUUUCAUCAGCAUUCCUUGUUUCAUACAGCAUUCCUUGUUUCUGGAAAGUGGACAGGAGAACGCAGCAAGCUGCGUCUCCCUGUCCAGUGCUCUCCAGUGUGUCCAACCAUAUGGCAUCAAAAUUCAGACGCUGGAUGAUUGUGAACUGUGCCAUUCAAAUGAAUGGGAUCAGUUCUAGCAUCAGUUUCCCUACGGUGUACGUCGGAGGGAAGCUAUGCCGGACGCCUGCUAUAUGUGAACCCAGCCAAAGCAAAUGCUGGGGUUUAGGCUUUUGUCCCUUCUAUACUCUCAGGUUAGUAGUUCAGUGGCAGUUUUCUGUUAAAAUGUGUGCCAGAAUGGUUGUGAUGGAUCUGCUGUCCUGAAAACAAAUGUUCAGCUCAGCGCUGAAUUGACACGGUGCUCAGCUGACAGCAACAAGAGAAAUGAAAGAAGCAUUAUUAUUCAGAUUUUUUUUAAACAAAUUUAAUAGGAAGACCUUUAUGCAAAUAUCUUGUCUAUAACAAAUUAAACCCCAAAACAACAUGUAUACUGCACAAAAAUCUCUAUGGGGGAGAUUUAUCAAAACCUGUCCAGAAGAAAAGUUGCUGAGUUGCCCAUAAAAACACAUCAGAUUGCUUCUUUCCUAUUUAACAAGGCCUCUGCAAAAUGAAAGAAGCGAUCUGAUUGGUUGCUAUGGGCAACUCUUCCUCUGGACAGGUUUUGAUAAAUCUUCCACUAUGAGUUUAGCUUGUGUAGUAAAAAUUCUAUUUAUGUGCCAAUUUUAACACCCUUACUCCUAAAUAUUCUUAAACAGUAAAUUUCAGUAUACACUUUUCAUCCUCCCUUUUCAUCUUUUUUCCUAACAAAAAGGGCAACUGAUCCCCAAAGAAGGUAUAAGGUGAAUCCCAUUCUCCUUUCUUCUGUUAUCAAUUUACUGAUGAAAAAGAUGAAGGUGAGGGCAAAUCCCUUUAAUGCUAUAGUAUCCUUAGCCCAAUGGGACAUGGGGGAUUUAUAUUUGCUGCCAUGAACAGGAUCAAAUUUUUCUCUUACGAAAUUGUGGAAGGUUCUAAAAGAGUUUCUUUAAGAAAAACUUUGCUGACUUUCUUCUAGGAUAAGACCAGAUCCUAAUUUUGGCACUAAAUAUAUGGCUCAUACACAAAGACAUAACAUAAAAAUGUGAGUUGUUGAUUCUGUAAGUAAUAUGAACAUUCUAAAAACUAAAAAUAUCAGCCAUAUUUAAACAAAUAUUUUUUAGAAUUUAUUUGUCACUUACUAUGAGAUACUUACCAAAAUGUUUAUAUCGUAUUGUAAAAUUACCUAUUGAAUUUUUUUCCAUUGAAUUAUGAAUGUUGCUUUAUAUUCUUUUACACAGAAAUGUAUGGAAACAUUGUCUACUACAUGUUGAGAAACAGGACUGUUACAUUAAAGAAUAAACACUAUUUUAAUCAAUGGCUAAACCUAAAAUACACAAAAAAAAAUAAAAAAAAAUAAAACUGCAUUGGUAACAUUCACUAGUACAUUUAGGUAAGUUACCAGUGCAGGAGAAUAGAAUAAUAUAAACUAUUAGUGACCACAAUAAAAUGAAAAAGCUUAAAUUUUUUCUUAGAUUAAAAUGUCAGUACAGGUCUAAAUUAUAAGUAAGGCAUUAUAAUAUUUGAAUAUUUCAAGAAGUCUUUUUAUUCUGUAUUAUAGGUUUAGUCACCUUGUGCUGGAACUUGAAUAUCCUUAUUUUCUUAUGUUCUUUUUAGGAACCAUUUGGGCAAAGCUGAUACACUGUACUUUGCCUAGCACAAGGCAUAAAGAGUGGUGCAUGCAAUUCUGUGUUGUGCAUCAUAUCCUCAGGUUGCAUCAGGCCUGUCACAGAGUAUAAGUUUUGCCUAGAGGAUUCCUGGUAAAACUGAGUUAAGAUCUGCUAUGUUAUUUUCAUAUACAAUGUUGCAGUACAUUACACAAUAGAGACCAAUGGUGCCCAAAGUACAUUAUUGACUUAAAAUUGGCCUAUUGGGUUUUAUUGUGGACCAAUGUUAAUCUUUUCAUUAAAUAAGAUGGUAUUAGUGGCAAAGGCCACUAAUGCCAAUUUUAAUAUUGCAUCAUCAACAUUGCUCUUUUACAUUAAUCUUCUUGACUCAAAUCUGAGGUCUGAGGUUAUACAAAUUCCAGCUUUUCUGAUUGUAAUGCUCACACCCUCUUUCUGUCUCAUCUCUUUUUCUCUAUAUAUUGAGUUGGCCUUAAUCAAGAAAUAUAAAGUAAAAAAAAUAUAUAUUUUCUAUUGUCAAGUCAAGAUAUAUAUAUAUAUAUAUAUAUAUAUAUAUAUAUAUAGUAUAAUUUUAAUGUCAGCAUUUUGACCCAUAUCUUUUAAGAAUGUAAAAAAAAAAUUCUAUUAUUACCCAUAAUGUUUUUCCAUUCCAUGUCUUUUUUCCAUUCUUUUGGAAGUCUUAGCUUACAGUCAUGCUACGUUGCGACUUAUUGUAUCUGUAUAGCUUGCACUAAUAGUACAAAUGAUUACAUUAUUACUGAAGCAGAUACAUGUGCAAGUGUUUUAAAAAGAGAAACCAGGCUUACUGGUAAUAUAUAGCACUUAACACAAAAACAACUGGGCAUGAGGACUAAACUGUAUUUAGAAAAUGGUGAAAAGAGUUUAACAGAAGGAAAAACAGAAAACAUGCACAGCGGCACACUACAUAUAAUAACACUCAAUGCCAUUUUCACUUGCUAGAGUAUGGUUGCCAGCAGGGGCAGAUGGUGGCAGCUUUCUAGCUUACACGCUAUUGUUUGUUUGCGUGCUGAGAAAAAGCAGGUUGAGGAAAUCACAUGACAUUACUGUGCAGAAAGGAUUUGGAGAAGACAGGAAGGCUAAUAUACUCUAACUAAAACAAAUAGUCAUUUCUUAGAAUUGCAUAAUUCUUCCUAAACUUUACAAAAUCAUAUAUAUUAGCAUAAGCGAGAACUUCCCAAUUGUCUUUACCCGUGGCAACUGUCUGGCCACAUGUUCUGUGCAAGGAAUACUCUGAUAAACAAAAAGGUACAUAUGUCUAUAAACGUUGACCUCUGUAACAUCUGCUCAAUAGAGUCUCUGGGCUGCGAUUCCUUGCAGUGUGUAAAUCUGUGUACUCCUGGCUGUCACUAAUUCAUGCAUGCUUCUUACAUCUGAUAAGCUUUAGACAUAUGUUACUGCUCAGAUUCCUUUUCUAGAUUAACUUCUAUGCAGAGUACUUGUUUCAACAACACGUAAGUAUUUACCAAAAAAUGUACAUGUAUAUAAUUGUGGAUGGCUAGGUUUGUAUUUUAGUUGGAGCUAAAUCGAACCUAUAGAUUUAUAGUCUUUUUUUAAACAUAUUUUAUUACAUUGAAACCAAAUCCUGAAUCAGAUUAUUAACUUAUUGUUUGUUCGAACAAUUGAAAUGCUUCAAAUACUAACAAUCUUCUAACAAUUUCUUGGUAUCUAUAGUGAUUAUAGUCCAAUCUUAAAACAUAGCAUACUUCUGUCAUGGCUUUAUUUCAUAUAUACAAAGUGGAAAUAAAAACAUAAGCAGAUGUAAUUAUAUUUUAAAAGAACUCAUGCAUUACAGAAUUAGGCAAUCCUUUUAAAGCAACUUUAAACUAUUUUUGUGGGUUGCUACAUGGAAAGGCUUAGAACUGAAAUGGAACCAGUAAAGUCUUGCUACAUUUUUUGGCUUAUUUUUUUUCUAGAUACCAUGACAGAAGUGUGUCUGUAAGCAUGACUAACAAUUUUAACAAUGUUUUGUCCUAAAUUUGCUAUGAAUGUAUCUGAUUAAUAUUACUGACCAAUAAAGAACUAAUAAUACAACAUUCUAACAAAUCUCUAUUAACUUACUAAAGUUCUAAUCUUGUAGUAACCUUUAUACUAACAGUGUGAUAUUCUAACCUGAUCUGUCCUGGGUGCAACCAAUAAGGAAGAUUUAUUUUUAUCCUUUUCCGUAAUGUUUAUGUUCAGAGACAUUGACUAUGAGCAACUUGUGUGUUCAAUUGGUAGAUGCCCAGCAUGCUGUAAGGGGGAUUUUCUUAGCUACCAUCUAAGCAUCCUAAAAGAGGUCCUGAUGCUUAAGAUAACUGCCCAGGGUGACCUUACCUACAAUAGGGAGAGUCGAAGACACAAUCUUGAUUUCUCAAAUGCAUUUUCAAGAAAGCAAUAGGACAUUUAUGUUGCAUGGGUACCUAUGUUAAGCUGUUUUGGUAAAUUCUUUUUAGAAUAAAAUUUUUAGUAUAGUAUACCAAUUGACCAAUGAUUAAUAUGGCUUUUAUUGCUGUUUCAAGCCAUAUUAAAUAUGCCAAAAAAUUGUUGAUUUCCUUCUGGUUGCUCCAGUGACGUGAUCACUGUCUGUUCCAUGGGCUCUGAAGGGCCUGUCUCUAUGUUAAAGCCCUCUAAACCUAAAAUACAAGUUUAUUUAAUAUAAAAUGGGGAAUUGCGAAAUACAUAUGUAAACAUAAAGUGUCACCACCAGCAAUGUUAAUGCACUGUUUUCUAUUUUUAAAAAUUCAUGUUGAUUAUUGGAUUAUCCAUGAUUUAAUAUCAUAUGACAAUAAGCCAUGCUCUAACACAAUUAUAGUGUGAGCCCAAGCUACCUCAGUAAACAUUUUUUCACUGUUAAAAGAUUUACUCUGUAGUGCUGGGAACAUAUAAAAGGAUUAGAUGGAAGGGAAUACACAUGUGCCUUUAUGGACAAGGCAUGCUUAACAAGGUUAUUACAUCUUUAUCCUGUUAACAGCCCUUAUAAAGCACUAAGAACCUUACAUUGGUUACUUUUCAUUAAGAUUUUUUUGUGUACAUAUGUAUUUUUUUAAAUAUUUUAUUAUCUGUUUUAUAUUAAAUAACUGAUAUUUAAGGUUUAUUGCUAUUUUAAGGAUAUUGCUGGGCCAUCUAAGUGUCAUUGAUGGGGAAAGAAGACAAUAGUUAAUCAUCAGGUGGCUCUUAGCUUUCCACUGUGAAAAAAGUACUAGGGAAUUUACUGCUUUAAUAUAAAAUAAAAUCUACUAUAUAAAAUACUUGGUAAAGUUCAUAAAAGCACAAACUUCUAGUUGGCAAUAGGGGAGCAGCUAAUACUGAACAAAUCAGACAUGUUUAAGCAGACUAUUUUUGCUUAAAAAUAGAAAUGUUACUAAAUCCAAUGUAAUCUCUGGCUAUCUAGAGAGCAAAAAAGGUCAGUAGUAAAUGUGGUCAUAGAAAUGUUGAGUUCGAUGGGGUCUAAGUUUGACCUGUAAUAACCUUCAUAGACUUCCAGAGAGAGAGAUGAAAAUGUUAGCUAUCUCUGCACACUGCAUGGGAGACCUUAACCCAAGAAAGUACUUCACAUGUCACUGUAUACAAUGAUGACAUAUUAUGUAUACAGAUAAUGUUAACUUAUAUUUAUUUGCAUAAUCACAUAGCUAGAGGUAACAUAACCCCACCAGUUUAGUACCCUGCCUCUUUUAAAAAAGCUUAGUGAACUACUGCUCCUCAAGAAGUAGUGGCUCUUCCAAUCACUGCAUCUUCUAUGGCUAUGCUUCAGCUGUUGAAUACAUAUUAAUAAAGUUCCUUAAUACUUACCCUUACAGCUUUUUUUUAAAUAGAAAUUAAGAUGCCAGGGAUGACUACUGUUUACAAUGAAAUAAGGAGUGCAGACAUAAGUAUAUGCCCACUUUUUGUAGUUGAAGAAUUUGAAAAUAGAUGAUUUUUUUUUAAUGCUAUUUACCUGAGAAAGAGUAUGUGUUAAUUGUCUUCUUUUCCCCCCCAAAAAAAAAGAUAAAAAAAAAGAAAAUCCUUUGUCAGGGCUAAACAACCUUGUUUGAGAACUAUUUUACUGCAUGCCAUUCCGAGCACAAGAUCCUAGCCUUGGGCUGACUACAAGAGUACAGUAUAUUCAGAGUGUGCUCCAUCAGUCAGCCAACUGUUAAACGUUAUAGUUUCACAGCCUAUAAAGGAUCAUAUGUUGCUUACCUCUGGCCUAACAUUUCCACUAACACAUAUGCUGCCUUUUUACCAGAACAAACACGUUGCAUGUUUGUCCUUAUUAAUGUGGAUUCAUGUGAUACUUGCCUUAACUACAUCUGUCUCCUGGACUAAAUGUUUUUUUUUUU